rnacentral:rRNA from 1 species
GAUGAACGCUAGCGGCAGGCCUAACACAUGCAAGUCGAGGGGUAAAGGAAGCUUGCUUCCUUGAGACCGGCGCACGGGUGCGUAACGCGUAUGCAAUCUACCUUGUACAGAGGGAUAGCCCAGAGAAAUUUGGAUUAAUACCUCAUAGUAUUAUUGAAUGGCAUCAUUUAAUAAUUAAAGUUCCAACGGUACAAGAUGAGCAUGCGUCCUAUUAGCUAGUUGGUGUGGUAACGGCAUACCAAGGCUACGAUAGGUAGGGGUCCUGAGAGGGAGAUCCCCCACACUGGGACUGAGACACGGACCAGACUCCUACGGGAGGCAGCAGUGAGGAAUAUUGGACAAUGGGCGCAAGCCUGAUCCAGCCAUGCCGCGUGCAGGAAGACGCAUCUAUGGUGUGUAAACUGCUUUUGUACGGGAAGAAACACUCCCUCGUGAGGGAGCUUGACGGUACCGUAAGAAUACGGAUCGGCUAACUCCGUGCCAGCCGCCGCAGUAAUAC